rnacentral:rRNA from 1 species
CGUACACUCCUACGGGAGGCAGCAGUAGGGAAUCUUCCACAAUGGGUGCAAACCUGAUGGAGCAAUGCCGCGUGAGUGAAGAAGGUCUUCGGAUCGUAAAGCUCUGUUGUUAGAGAAGAACACGUGCUAGGUAACUACUAGCGCCUUGACGGUAUCUAACCAGAAAGUCACGGCUAACUACGUGCCAGCAGCCGCGGUAAUACGUAGGCGACAAGCGUUGUCCGGAUUUAUUGGGCGUAAAGGGAGCGCAGGCGGUCUGUUUAGUCUAAUGUGAAAGCCCACGGCUUAACCGUGGAACGGCAUUGGAAACUGACAGACUUGAAUGUAGAAGAGGAAAAUGGAAUUCCAAGUGUAGCGGUGGAAUGCGUAGAUAUUUGGAGGAACACCAGUGGCGAAGGCGAUUUUCUGGUCUAACAUUGACGCUGAGGCUCGAAAGCGUGGGGAGCGAACAGGAUUAGAAACCCGAGUAGUCCCAUG